GCUGGAAGGGUCCAGACCAGAGCAAUAAGAACUUCUCUAGCCGGACAGUGGUGGUGCAUGCCUUCAAUCCCAGCAGACGGAUCUCUGUGAGUUCAGGGCCAGCCUGGUCAUCAUACUGAGUUCCAGAACAGACAGGGCCACACAGAGAAACCCUGUCUCAAAACCAAUCAACCAAAAAACCCAAAACAAAACGGGAAUUUUGUAGAAAAAUGUUAGUGCCAAGCUUACCCCUCUACGUUUGCAUGUCCCUAUGGCCAUGCCUUCCGACUCGCCCAGACUUUAUGGGACUUUUUACCUCAGCACACACCAUUGUAGUCACUUUAUGCAGAUAGGUGAUUUCUUCCUGCUACAUUAUUCGGAUGAACCUUUGGGGGACCAGAUUUCUAAAAGGAUGCCAAUCAGUGUAGAGAAUCUGAGUUUGAGGAGACCGGGACAGAUAGCAUUGAUUUGUUGGGGGAAAACCGUAGAGGCACUUCUGCGCCUGCCAAGGAGGGUGCUCAGACUAAAGAUGCAUCCGUACAUCGCAUAUGUAAAGCUCCUGCGAAUGGUGUAUUGAUGCACUGUGUUUAAAGUCCUUGUUCAAGACCAGUUUUUAAUGCUCCAUGACCACAGGAGUGGAGCGGAACUUUGGUCUUGAUUGAGUUUAGUCCUUGGUGGCUCAGUUUGCUACCUGACUCAUUCUUUUUUUUUUUUUUUCAUAGGUAUGUCUGCACUUUAAUUUUGAAAUAACAACAGUAAUUUUAAAAAUCAUCAUAUUGUUCUAAAAUAAUAUCUUCUGGAUAUGAAGGGGCUAUGACAGAGGGUAUGGUUGUUGUCAUAAGAUAUACAUUAUCAAGUCAGUCAAUAUCUGCAUGAAGAGGCAAUGAGCUCACAAGAUCCCAACCUUAGCUGAGGAACUACUGACAGUUGAUAUCUCUGACUCAUUCUUUUCAUCUGUGACAACACAGUUAUGUGUGUGCUUCUUUAGAUCGGUAGGGAACCGAGAGUCCUAAAUCUAGCCCCAUUUCAAACCAUUCCGAGGGUUAGCACUAUCAGCUAUGUGUGGCAUUAGCAGAGGUUAUUAAAGCAGGGUCCACUAGGGAUGUCAAAGCAGCUUAUCUCUGAAGCUCACUUCUUCUAAGCGUCUUCUUCCCAUCUUCUUGCUUCCCUUUCCCCAAAUUCUAUAUUGUUCGAGACAGCACAUCUCUACGUAGCCCUGGCUGUCCUGGAACUCGCUCUGUAGACCAGACUGUCCUUGAACUCAGAGACUCACCUGCCUCUGCUUCCCCGAGUGAUUAGAGGUGAACACCACCACUGGCCAGGUCUUAACACUUUUGAAGUUGGUAACUGAACCUGGAGAUGGAUGGUUGAAAUGUAAGAUUUGAGCCUCCCAGUAGUCCAUACAUUCAGGAGAUUUCUAGUAGUCGUACUAUGGCUCCUUCCUUAUGAUUUCUGUGAAGAGACUUGAAUGAGAUGGUAGGAGCCUGGAGUUUUCCUUAAUUUUCAAGAACUAUUCCCUGAUUGGCCUUUGCCAAAAGGCUGGGUGGAGGUUGGCCCUGUGUGCCCCCCACACACAAAGGCACCAGGGAGUAAGGGGCACAGUUUGCUCUUUUUGAGAGGGGGUGGGGUCUGAGGUAGCUCAGGCUGGCCUCGAACUUGCCAAGUAGCCAAGGAUGCUCUCCAGUUUCUGAUGCUUCAGCCUCCACUUCCCCUAAGCGCUAGGAUUAUAGGAAUGCACCACCAUGCUUGGCUUGAACAGUGCUGAGAAUCGAGCCCAGAGCUUUGUGCAUGGGAGGGCAAGCACUCUACCAAGCUAGUAUUCCCCAGCUCCCUUUCGUAAUAGUUUUUUUACAAAGACUUUCUCUUUGAAUAGAUAAAGACUUGAGUAUUUAAUAAGACUUUAGUUUCGAGAUAAGGCACUAGCCUGUCUGGUAAAACCACAUAAAAUUAGCAUGUCUAAGUGGCGCUUCCAUUUUUAAAGCUGGUUAUAUAAUGGUUUUUUGUUGAAAUGUGCCUUAAAAGCCUAUCACUUCAAGAGCAUGUGAUUUCUUUGAAGGAUAGGCAGGAACAAUCCUGUGACAUAGGGCCCACGUUCCUGAUCAUAAAUGCACUCUUCAGUUACUCACAACAUUGACGGCUGCCUCAAGCCUGCUGUGACAGUGACCUCUUGAAGAUGUCUGAAUGGCGACGUUUCCGUCUGUGACUAGAAUUGAUCAUGUCCUCACAUUUGUUUUGAAUUUUACCUUAGAUUCGGGAAUUAGCUUAAUGCACCACAGACUGCUUACGCUCAAAUGUGACUGUGAACAGAAAGGCCAGUCUCCUGGCUACGGUGGCUUCAAUGGAACAUUGUUCGUUUGGUUUUAGGAGUUGAGAACUUGGAAGAUGUGUAGACCAGGAGUCAGGCUUUUGCUCUCUGAGUCAAGUACAACUUCCGUGUAAGAGUUGUACUGAAUUACCGUCUUUGGUUGACUGUAAUGGUGGAGGUUAGUGUGAGUGACCUGUGCGGAGUGCUUUUGGAGGAGUAUAGAUAGAAACUGAUGAAUAGACACCAAGUGCUAUUUGGUGAACAUAAUAAAUGUUGGGUCCUUAAAUAGAAAAUGACUAAAAACCAUAGCAGUACUUAUGCAUGGGUUAUGCCAACUGUGUCUGAACCAGAAUUCAUAAAAUCAACGGGACUGUCACGAUGAAAGUACGCUAUGCACCCAACAAACACAGGCUGGGUGUAGUUCGUAACCAAGCACACUGUUUUACUGUUGAUAGGACAUUUGUAACAGCCUUCAGGGAUGUAAACUGCCAACUUGAAAAGCAUGCUUGUGUGUUGAUGGCUUGACGUACCCAGAGCUUAGUUUUCUGGGAGCAGAAUGGUCUCUUUUGUUGAAAUUUAAGAUGAU
rnacentral:lncRNA from 1 species